AGGGUUCGAUUCUGGCUCAGGAUGAACGCUGGCGGCGUGCUUAACACAUGCAAGUCGAACGGGAUCCAUCAGGCUUUGCUUGGUGGUGAGAGUGGCGAACGGGUGAGUAAUGCGUGACCGACCUGCCCCAUACACCGGAAUAGCUCCUGGAAACGGGUGGUAAUGCCGGAUGCUCCAGUUGAUCGCAUGGUCUUCUGGGAAAGCUUUCGCGGUAUGGGAUGGGGUCGCGUCCUAUCAGCUUGACGGCGGGGUGACGGCCCACCGUGGCUUCGACGGGUAGCCGGCCUGAGAGGGCGACCGGCCACAUUGGGACUGAGAUACGGCCCAGACUCCUACGGGAGGCAGCAGUGGGGAAUAUUGCACAAUGGGCGCAAGCCUGAUGCAGCGACGCCGCGUGAGGGAUGGAGGCCUUCGGGUUGUAAACCUCUUUUAUCGGGGAGCAAGCGAGAGUGAGUUUACCCGUUGAAUAAGCACCGGCUAACUACGUGCCAGCAGCCGCGGUAAUACGUAGGGUGCAAGCGUUAUCCGGAAUUAUUGGGCGUAAAGGGCUCGUAGGCGGUUCGUCGCGUCCGGUGUGAAAGUCCAUCGCUUAACGGUGGAUCCGCGCCGGGUACGGGCGGGCUUGAGUGCGGUAGGGGAGACUGGAAUUCCCGGUGUAACGGUGGAAUGUGUAGAUAUCGGGAAGAACACCAAUGGCGAAGGCAGGUCUCUGGGCCGUUACUGACGCUGAGGAGCGAAAGCGUGGGGAGCGAACAGGAUUAGAUACCCUGGUAGUCCACGCCGUAAACGGUGGAUGCUGGAUGUGGGGACCAUUCCACGGUCUCCGUGUCGGAGCCAACGCGUUAAGCAUCCCGCCUGGGGAGUACGGCCGCAAGGCUAAAACUCAAAGAAAUUGACGGGGGCCCGCACAAGCGGCGGAGCAUGCGGAUUAAUUCGAUGCAACGCGAAGAACCUUACCUGGGCUUGACAUGUUCCCGACGGUCGUAGAGAUACGGCUUCCCUUCGGGGCGGGUUCACAGGUGGUGCAUGGUCGUCGUCAGCUCGUGUCGUGAGAUGUUGGGUUAAGUCCCGCAACGAGCGCAACCCU
rnacentral:rRNA from 1 species